GACGAACGCUGGCGGCGUGCUUAACACAUGCAAGUCGAACGGAAAGGCCCUGCUUUUGUGGGGUGCUCGAGUGGCGAACGGGUGAGUAACACGUGAGUAACCUGCCCUUGACUUUGGGAUAACUUCAGGAAACUGGGGCUAAUACCGGAUAGGAGCUCCUGCUGCAUGGUGGGGGUUGGAAAGUUUCGGCGGUUGGGGAUGGACUCGCGGCUUAUCAGCUUGUUGGUGGGGUAGUGGCUUACCAAGGCUUUGACGGGUAGCCGGCCUGAGAGGGUGACCGGCAACAUGGGGACUGAGAGACGGCCCAGACUCCUACGGGAGGCAGAAGGGGGGAAUAUUGCACAAUGGGCGGAAGCCUGAUGCAGCAACGCCGCGUGCGGGAUGACGGCCUUCGGGUUGUAAACCGCUUUCGCCUGUGACGAAGCGUGAGUGACGGUAAUGGGUAAAGAAGCACCGGCUAACUACGUG
rnacentral:rRNA from 1 species